rnacentral:lncRNA from 1 species
GUUUGUACAUAUAUAGAUAUAGAUCGUACAUUAGAUUUUAGAGGCUUUAAUUAAAUUUAAAACAUAAUACAUAUUUUACAAAACAUUAAAACUUGUAGGCAGCUGCCAAGUAAGGAAUGAUGAAGGAGGAAGUUAAGAGAUAGCGGGUCGGGUGGGUUCGGAUGAGAUGAGAUGGGAUUAAGUGACGGCUGACGCGUAUCUGAAUAUUAACAGGUCAAACCCACUCCACCAAUCACAUACAUAAUGCUCACACCAAUCUUAUCCGAUGAUCACUCAGAUCAGGGAUAAAAAUCAAGGGUCACGAAACCACCGCGAUUAUAAAGGAUCCGGCGAACAAAUUGAAUAGCGUGACGUCAUCAUGAUUUGGUCUCCCGCCAUAUCUCACUGCGAGGAAAGAGUAACAAAAGGGUAAAUUUUAUUUCAACCCGACACGUGUCAGUUACGGCAUCCUAAAUUGGACAAUUCACCGUUACCGUUCACUUGCCCGUUCUGUUUCUUUUUUAUUUUUUAUUUUUUUUUUAAUUUCUAAAAAUAAGAAAUUCAUCUCGCUAUUUCUCUAUUUUCUCGCGUUUCCCUUUACUUUCUCUUCAACUCGGUCGACAGACCCACCCCUUCUCUUCGGAUCGAAUUACCCUCGCCAGAGAAAGCAAGAAAACAGCACAAACAAAUCGAUAUUGCUCGAGGCAGGAAAUUGGAGAGGAGAGGAAAGGAAAGGAAAGGAAAGGAAAGGGAUUGUUGAG